rnacentral:rRNA from 1 species
GACGAACGCUGGCGGCGUGCUUAACACAUGCAAGUCGAACGGUGAAAGCGGAGCUUGCUCCGCUGGAUCAGUGGCGAACGGGUGAGUAACACGCGGGCAACCUGCCCCUCACUUCGGGAUAACUCCGGGAAACCGGGGCUAAUACCGGAUAUGACCUCCUUGGGCAUCCUUGGAGGUGGAAAGUUUUUCGGUGAGGGAUGGGCCCGCGGCCUAUCAGCUUGUUGGUGAGGUAGUGGCUCACCAAGGCGACGACGGGUAGCCGGCCUGAGAGGGCGACCGGCCAGACUGGGACUGAGACACGGCCCCGACUCCGACGGGAGGCAGCAGUGGGGAAUAUUGCGCAAUGGGCGAAAGCCUGACGCAGCAACGCCGCGUGCGGGAUGACGGCCUUCGGGUUGUAAACCGCUUUCAGCAGGGAAGAAGCCGCAAGGUGACGGUACCUGCAGAAGAAGCACCGGCUAACUACGUGCCAGCCGCCGCCGUAA